rnacentral:rRNA from 1 species
UUGCUCUUCAACGAGGAAUUCCCAGUAAGCGCAAGUCAUCAGCUUGCGUUGAUUACGUCCCUGCCCUUUGUACACACCGCCCGUCGCUACUACCGAUUGAAUGGCUUAGUGAGGCUUCAAGAUUGGCGCCGCGGGAGGGGCAACUUUCCCAUGGGGCCGAGAAUCUAGUCAAACUUGGUCAUUUAGAGGUCGUAAAAGUCGUAACAAGGUUUCCGUAGGUGAACCUGCGGAAGGAUCAUUACUGUGAUUUAGUACUACACUGCGUGAGCGGAACGAAAACAAAAACACCUAAAAUGUGGAAUAUAGCAUAUAGUCGACAAGAGAAAUCUACGAAAAACAAACAAAACUUUCAACAACGGAUCUCUUGGUUCUCGCAUCGAUGAAGAGCGCAGCGAAAUGCGAUACCUAGUGUGAAUUGCAGCCAUCGUGAAUCAUCGAGUUCUUGAACGCACAUUGCGCCCCUCGGCAUUCCGGGGGGCAUGCCUGUUUGAGCGUCGUUUCCAUCUUGCGCGUGCGCAGAGUUGGGGGAGCGGAGCGGACGACGUGUAAAGAGCGUCGGAGCUGCGACUCGCCUGAAAGGGAGCGAAGCUGGCCGAGCGAACUAGACUUUUUUUNCAGGGACGCUUGGCGGCCGAGAGCGAGUGUUGCGAGACAACAAAAAGCUCGACCUCAAAUCAGGUAGGAAUACCCGCUGAACUUAAGCAUAUCAAUAAGCGGAGGA